UGUGUGUAAUUUAAAAAAAAUACCAAGCUGUGAC
rnacentral:tRNA from 1 species